UUUUUUUUUUAAAUAUUCAGUGAUGGGUUAUUUGUUUUUAAGAGAUAAUUUGUUUCAUUGGCACCUUAAUUUCUUUGUUAACAUACUUUGCCCUAAAGAUACAUGAAAUAAAACCUUCUUUCAACAAAUUAUAUAUAUUUUUGGCUAGAAAAUUAUCAAAUAGCAAAGUGGAAAAAAUAUAAAGCUUAUAGGGUGUUUUUGGCAUUAACUUAGUGUCUGAGAAAACAAUAUGUUAUUUCCUUUUAGAAGUUGUAUGCUCCAGGCAGAUUCCGAAAAGCUGCGCCAGGCAUGGAUUAAGGCUGUUCAGACCAGUAUUGCUACUGCUUAUAGAGAGAAGGGUGAUGAAUCAGAGAAGCUGGAUAAGAAAUCAUCUCCAUCCACAGGAAGCCUAGAUUCUGGAAAUGAGUCCAAAGAGAAAUUAUUGAAAGGAGAAAGUGCGCUUCAGCGGGUCCAGUGUAUCCCUGGCAAUGCCAGCUGUUGUGACUGUGGCCUGGCAGAUCCACGGUGGGCCAGCAUCAACCUGGGCAUCACCUUGUGUAUCGAGUGCUCCGGAAUUCACCGGAGCCUUGGGGUUCAUUUUUCGAAAGUACGAUCUUUAACUUUAGACACCUGGGAGCCAGAACUUUUAAAGCUUAUGUGUGAGUUGGGGAAUGAUGUUAUAAAUCGAGUUUAUGAAGCUAAUGUGGAAA
rnacentral:sRNA from 1 species